rnacentral:rRNA from 1 species
GACGAACGCUGGCGGCGUGCUUAACACAUGCAAGUCGAACGGAAAGGCCCUGCUUUUGUGGGGUGCUCGAGUGGCGAACGGGUGAGUAACACGUGAGUAACCUGCCCUUGACUUUGGGAUAACUUCAGGAAACUGGGGCUAAUACCGGAUAGGAGCUCCUGCUGCAUGGUGGGGGUUGGAAAGUUUCGGCGGUUGGGGAUGGACUCGCGGCUUAUCAGCUUGUUGGUGGGGUAGUGGCUUACCAAGGCUUUGACGGGUAGCCGGCCUGAGAGGGUGACCGGCCACAUUGGGACUGAGAGACGGCCCAGACUCCUACGGGAGGCAGCAGUGGGGAAUAUUGCACAGUGGGCGGACGCCUGAUGCGGCAACGCCGCGUGCGGGAUGACGGCCUUCGGGUUGUAAACCGCUUUCGCCUGUGACGAAGCGGGAGUGACGGUAAUGGGUAAAGAAGCACCGGCUAACUACGUG